UACGUAGGGUGCAAGCGUUGUCCGGAAUCAUUGGGCGUAAAGCGCGCGUAGGUGGUCAUGUAAGUCCGCUGUGAAAGUCAAAGGCUCAACCUUUGAAAGCCGGUGGAUACUGCAUGACUAGAGUACGGAAGAGGCGAGUGGAAUUCCUGGUGUAGCGGUGAAAUGCGCAGAUAUCAGGAGGAACACCGGUGGCGAAGGCGGAUCUCUGGGCCAUUACUGACGCUGAGGAGCGAAAGCGUGGGGAGCGAACAGG
rnacentral:rRNA from 1 species